AAGUCGUAACAAGGUCUCCGUAGGUGAACCUGCGGAGGGAUCAUUAACACGUUUAAUAAACGUAUUCAACCAAACUUAUGGAAACAAGAAUAAUAUGACUUAUACAUAGAAUUAUUUCUAUAUAUAAGUAUGAAUUCAGUGAUUUCUCCCCAGAGUUGAAAAUUCAUUUUUUCAACAAUGGGCUAAUAUUUAACAUUUUUAUUUUAUUAUAAACCCCUUUCCAAUUGAUUUCUGUACUUUUGUACUUGAAUCUUAAUACUAGACUAAUUCAUUAUAUAUCUAUAUGUAACAGUAUAAAUAUAUGACAUGAUAUCAAAAAUCUAAGCACAACUCUUAGCAACGGAUAUCUUGGUUCUC
rnacentral:misc_RNA from 1 species